GACAGAGGGGGAAGUUGAACGUCAGUGUACAAUUCUAACAGGUCUUAGCCAGUCCUUCAAGAGCCCAGGAGCUAGAAUGGCUCUUCCAAGUUUUCCAGAAUUGAGACAAAAAGGCCAGGUCUUUGUACAUCUGCAUAGACCAGUUCUUUGAUUGUGGAAAUGCACGCUUCAGAUCUGAAGGGGCAAUGCAGAAGGCAUACCACAGCAUCCACCACAUGCUUCCACAACAAUAAAAAAUAGUUUGGAUAUUACUUAGCUUAAUAGUUCGAAGAUGUGUCUGUAAAAGUCAGCAUAAUGUUCAGACGUGAGGACACAGCGAGAAUUUGGCCACCUGCAAGCCAGGAAGAGGGCUCUCACCAGAACUCAACCAUACUGGCACCCCAAUCUUGGAUUUCCAACCUCCAGACCAUGAGAAAAUAAAUUUCUGGACCAGCAACUGCUGAGAUGGUAGCUGCUUCAUCAGGUACAUGAGUCCUCAGUUGACCCACAUGGAUAUAUUGUUGCUUCUGUUUCUACAGCAAAACCUAGCCUUCCCUGACAUCCAAAUCUCCAAAGGACAAGUUGCAUGUGAAAAUGGCUGUAAAUUAGCAGUCUGACAUGCAUCUCACUGGCUAAAAUGAAGGCAUCAACAAGGCUGGGACUUGGGAUGGAGCAAGACAGUGGAAUAGAAGGCACUACAAAUUGCUCCCAUCCCCACCCAGGACACCAAUUUAACAACUAUCUACACCAAAAAAGACCAAACUAGGUCAUUUCAAACCUCAGUCACCUUCAGAGAGAUUCUAGGAAGGGCACACUAAGAGUCAGCAAAGAGACGACAUUCCUGGAUUCCUGACUUGUUGUCCAGAUCUGCUACUGAAUCAGAUUCAGUUUCCUUCUCUUGGAGCCUGCUACCAGCCAAUGACAUCGGGAUCUAACCUGAGACGAACCUAGGUGUUCUAUACGGCAGCCUGGUGUACUGAAGAGUGCCUAAGGU
rnacentral:lncRNA from 1 species